rnacentral:rRNA from 1 species
UACGUAGGGUGCAAGCGUUGUCCGGAAUUAUUGGGCGUAAAGAGCUCGUAGGCGGUUUGUCGCGUCGAAUGUGAAAACCCGGGGCUCAACCCCGGGCCUGCAUUCGAUACGGGCAGACUAGAGUUCGGUAGGGGAGUCUGGAAUUCCUGGUGUAGCGGUGAAAUGCGCAGAUAUCAGGAGGAACACCGAUGGCGAAGGCAGGUCUCUGGGCCGAUACUGACGCUGAGGAGCGAAAGCGUGGGGGAGCGAACAGG